UAACCAAGAACCUUCUGGUAGCAAAUCGU
rnacentral:sRNA from 1 species